rnacentral:sRNA from 1 species
UAGCAAUACGCUAUGGAUGCUUGGGCUA